rnacentral:lncRNA from 1 species
UUUACUUUUUUUCACUUUAGUACCCUGUGGUUUAAAGUGUAUCCAGUACCCUGUUGUAGUGUGGUUUUGCACUUUUUCACUUUAGUACCCUGUGGUUUAAAGUGUAUCAAGUCAGUACCAUGUGGUUUCGCAUUUUCUGACUUUAGUACCAUGUGGUUUCAUACUUUCUCACUUUAGUGCCUUGUAGUUUAAAAACCACUGUGUACUAACUUGAUACAAAAAUAAAACCACAGUGUACUAACUUGAUAAAAAAAUAAAACCACAGAGUACUAACUUGAUACACUUUAAACCACAGGGGUACUAAAGUGAGAAAGUGCGAAACCAAGGGUACUAACUUGAUACACUUUAAACCACAUGAUAAUAAAAUAAAAAAGUAUGAAACCACAAGGGAGUUUUUUAAAGUUUUUCCUUUUUUUAAGAAAAAAACCAGUGGUGCAAUUAUUUGCUACUAAUGUGUAAUAC